rnacentral:rRNA from 1 species
GAUGAACGCUAGCGGAAGGCCUAAUACAUGCAAGUCGAACGGAUAUAUUUGCUUCGGUAGAUAUGUUAGUGGCGCACGGGUGAGUAACGCGUACACAACCUACCUUUUAUUGGGGGAUAGCCCUGGGAAACUGGGAGUAAUACCGCAUAACAUUAUUUGGAGGCAUCUUUGAAUAAUUAAAGCUGAGGCGAUAGAAGAUGGGUGUGCGUCUGAUUAGGUAGUUGGUAGGGUAACGGCCUACCAAGCCGACGAUCAGUAGGGGGUGUGAGAGCAUGGCCCCCCACACGGGUACUGAGACACGGACCCGACUCCUACGGGAGGCAGCAGUAAGGAAUAUUGGUCAAUGGUGGGAACACUGAACCAGCCAUUCCGCGUGAAGGAUGAAUGCCCUCUGGGUUGUAAACUUCUUUAGUCUGGGACGAAAAAGCUUCAUUUAUGAAGAACUGACGGUACCAGAAGAAUAAGCACCGGCUAACUCCGUG